ACGGGAGGCAGCAGUGAGGAAUACUGGUCAAUGGGCGGAAGCCUGAACCAGCCAAGUCGCGUGAAGGAUGAAGGUAUUAUGUAUUGUAAACUUCUUUAGACGCAGGGAAAUAAGAGGGUCGUGACCCUUGAUGCUAGUAUGCGUAGAAUAAGGAUCGGCUAACUCCGUGCCAGCAGCCGCGGUAAUACGGAGGAUCCGAGCGUUAUCCGGAUUUAUUGGGUUUAAAGGGAGCGCAGGCGGAGGAUUAAGUCAGCGGUGAAAUUUUCAUGCUCAACAUGAAAACUGCCAUUGAUACUGGUCCCCUUGAGAGAUGUCGAGGAUGGCGGAAUGUGAUGUGUAGCGGUGAAAUGCUUAGAUAUGUCACAGAACACCGAUUGCGAAGGCAGCUGUCCAGAGAUCUUCUGACGCUCAGGCACGAAAGCAUGGGUAUCAAACAGGAUUAGAUACCCUGGUA
rnacentral:rRNA from 1 species